UUCCUAUCUCGCUUGUCUUCAUUUGUCGUCUGACCAUCACACAUCUGCAGUUUUCAUAGGCAGCCAUGGUGGGGGUCAUUAUAAUAGAUGAAGAAAGUACUAGAAAGCAAGGAGCUGAAAAAGAGCGAUACCUUGAGAGAGCAGACACACAUUGCCAUAGGAGGAGACCUUGAGUUUACCCUGUCCAGGUGAAAUUUGCAUUUUUAAAGGGACAUGGUUAAAGAUCAAGAAGCUUCCAAACCUAAAGAAAUGAAGUCCUUGUUGUUAGGAAAUCAAGUGGUGUAACUGGUGUUUGGGAUGGAAAAUGUGUUUAAGAUGGAAAAUAUUCAAAUGUGUGCCAGAACAGGGUGAGCCAUUCGAUAUCCAUAAAAUUGUAACAGUG
rnacentral:lncRNA from 1 species